rnacentral:sRNA from 12 species
GAAACGCGAACCAAGCGGCGGUGUGAGCCGUGUGAGAUUUGGAGCUGGUCUUGGCGACGAGGUCAUGCG